GACGAACGCUGGCGGCGUGCUUAACACAUGCAAGUCGAACGGAAAGGCCCUGCUUGCAGGGUACUCGAGUGGCGAACGGGUGAGUAACACGUGGGUGAUCUGCCCUGCACUUCGGGAUAAGCCUGGGAAACUGGGUCUAAUACCGGAUAGGAGCCAUUUUUAGUGUGAUGGUUGGAAAGUUUUUUCGGUGUAGGAUGAGCUCGCGGCCUAUCAGCUUGUUGGUGGGGUAAUGGCCUACCAAGGCGGCGACGGGUAGCCGGCCUGAGAGGGUGGACGGGCACAGUGGGACUGAGAUACGGCCCAGACUCCUACGGGAGGCAGCAGUGGGGAAUAUUGCACAAUGGGCGCAAGCCUGAUGCAGCGACGCCGCGUGGGGGAGGACGGCCUUCGGGUUGUAAACUCCUUUCGCUAGGGACGAAGCUUUUUGUGACGGUACCUAGAGAAGAAGCACCGGCUAACUACGUG
rnacentral:rRNA from 1 species